GGGGCUUGCAAUGGCUCCAACCGGAAGGGCGGUGCUCGAGCUGUGGUGCGUGCCGCUAAGUUGUGCGUUCCAGGGUGCACUCGCCGGCGAGGCUGCACGGCGCCGGUUUCAUUGCUAAAAUCCGACGGACUUGUUGCAGAACUCGUUUUUUUUGUCGGGAAAGGGCUUCCCCGUGUAACUUUACAGCAGUUAUCGUAGAUAAGACUUGCAAAUUACAGAUGUGGACGGUGAGGGAACGGGAAUUUCACUGAAAGCGCCUGAGAACCAGUAAGAGACCUGCAACAGCUUUGUGCUCCACUGGCGAAUGCUUCCUCCCCUAAUACACAUUAUGUGUGCUUGGAGACACAAGGAGUAAGAUACAGCCCCUCAAGGGACUCGUCAUAGGGAGAGGACACAGCUUUGGGAAUAAAGGGGCCACAAAGGAGGAGAGAGGAGUUUGCUGAAACUUCCCAAGCUCCCAUUCCAGCAGUUCCUGAAGGGCUGGACAAUGGAGGAGGCUUGAAACAGUAGCUGGCAAGUGGUAGAAGAGAUGGAGCAGAGAAGCAAGAAGAAGCAGACUCCUCACUCCUUCACCAGGGUGGAUUUGCUGGUUUGAAGCAGACCUGAGUUGGGAGAGGAGAGAGGCGAGAAGUUUUAAUUGGAUGAAAUAUUUCUUUAGACUGGUCUAUACUUUUUUCUUUAUAUCUAAAAUUCACUGGAAGAGCUAUGAAAUCUGUCCAAGAUUUCGUUCAGUUCAGGAAAAACCAAAACCAAAACCAUAACCACCAGGUAAUACACAUGUGACUCAGAUGCCACCAAAGAAGUAUGUGUCCAAGACCUCAAGUUGAAAGCUGUGGACUGCGGAGGGACUCUCUGGUGAAGUUGUUGCAAGCAUGAUUAAUUCAUUGGGGCAGCAAUGGCAGCCAAGCCAGUGGUGGUAUCCUGUGUCCAGGAGUGGUAUUGGUGAUUCAGUUUGCAGCCUCUGAGGUACAAGGAUAAGGAAAAUGGUGACCAGAUCAGUUUUGCUGCCUCAGAUUAGACAUAAUUUCAAGCUGUAUAUCUCUAAUCCUCCUAAUAAUUCUAUGACCUACAUGAUAUCCUUUAAAUAAAUGACUUAUCAUUUAAAAUAAUUCCGAAUUGAUUUCUGUGACUUGCAAUGAAAUCAAUAAAAAAAAAAAAAUACCUGGACUAUUAC
rnacentral:lncRNA from 1 species